UCUUUUGUGGCAUUAUAGUUCCCAACUGCAUCUUGAUAACUGGAUUGUUAUGCAUGAUUAUUUGUGUUACUGAAUUUGAUACCUGACUUAUCAAUAUCUGUGCACGAUACAUGAAGCACCUAUUCGAUAAAUGGCAGAUAUCAAUGAACACCCUAUUUGGAUCUUGUAGCUUUCUCCAAUAAUUUACUGUGAACUAGUUAUCAUUGCCGAGCCAAUAAAUUUGUUCUUGACUUUAUUAGAUAAAUUGGCACUUAGCCUUGAACUAACACAUGCCUUAAAGAUGUUUAUGUGUUAUUUUCAUA
rnacentral:lncRNA from 1 species